CCUACGGGAGGCAGCAGUCGAGAAUCAUUCACAAUGGGGGAAACCCUGAUGGUGCGACGCCGCGUGGGGGAAUGAAGGUCUUCGGAUUGUAAACCCCUGUCAUGUGGGAGCAAAUUAAAAAGAUAGUACCACAAGAGGAAGAGACGGCUAACUCUGUGCCAGCAGCCGCGGUAAUACAGAGGUCUCAAGCGUUGUUCGGAAUCACUGGGCGGAAAGCGUGCGUAGGCUGUUGCGUAAGUCGUGUGUGAAAGGCGCGGGCUCAACCCGCGGACGGCACAUGAUACUGCGAGACUAGAGUAAUGGAGGGGGAACCGGAAUUCUCGGUGUAGCAGUGAAAUGCGUAGAUAUCGAGAGGAACACUCGUGGCGAAGGCGGGUUCCUGGACAUUAACUGACGCUGAGGCACGAAGGCCAGGGGAGCGAAAGGGAUUAGAUACCCCUGUAGUC
rnacentral:rRNA from 1 species